GUUUGUUCUACAUGAAAAUCACAACUGUCUCAUCUGCAACAGGACUUUGACACAUGAAAGUUCCUGGUGCUCAGAGAUGGAAAGUGACCUGACCUCGCUGUGCUGAUGGAAGCCCGAGCUGAACCUGCAGCUGUCGCACAAAGCAGCUUUAGCACAUGCUGCAUGAGUCCUUUCCCAGCCAGCAUGGAGGAUCCUCUUCACCUCCUCACAGCUCUCAUUCCCAUCGCUUGCCUCCUCUCCUCACCCUGGAAAAGAUCUACUCUGGGAGCACCCUGGCAUCCUUAACUCAGUAUCUGCUCUCCACUCAUUCAGCUCUGUCAUUUUAUUUAAAUAAAGUAUCCUGCUCACCCUCCUGUGCAAGUUGCCAUGGGCUGGGAGCAGCUGGGUAUCCCACCCCAGCCAGCCAUGUCCCACCCUCACAGUCAGAACUGUGCUCACAGGAGCCUUGUCCUCUGCCACUGGCAGUGGUACGAGGAGAGGCAAAGCUGAGCCUGUGCUUUGAGCACCCUCUCUGCCUCCUGCCUUCCUCAUCCGGGAAUAAUCAAACAGCCAUAGGGAAUUGCCAUGCUCAGUAUCUUGAGCUACUCUGGUGAGAGUCAUUACAGACAAUAACAGGGAUCCAGAGUGCUUUUUUAUGGGUACAUUUUCAUUAGCUUCUUUACUGGCUAAAAGAUGGAUUUAAACCAGACUGUGCUGGCUGAAGACUCAGUGAAACCUUUGCGAGAAACGAAAAAGGCGAGUGCAAAAGAAGGAAAGGGAGCUUGAGGGAGCUGGUAAAAGGGACUUGUACAGUGAAUAGCAGCAAAGGGAGAACCACAACUGCAGCCCUUCAUCCCCCAACUCUUUCCCUGGAUGAAAGCUUCUCCAUGCAUCACAAAGAAAGAGGGAUCCUCGGGAUGGCCAACAAGAGCCACCAUAGGAACAGCUCACAGUUCCACAUCACCUUCCAGCCAGUGACCCACCUGGACAAGAAAUAUGUUACUCAAGCUAGAAAAUCCUAUGGCAAAACUAAGGAAGCUGCUAGGGCGUCUCCAGGACCAAAGGUUACAAACUCGUGGCUGCAAAGCUCAGUGGCAGCCCAAACUGGGCCCUGACAGACAGGAAGGCAUUUCACAAAACCACCAUGCUCUGCUCUGCCCUCACAAACUGAAAAACAUUGUUUUAGCAGAUGCAUACUAGAAGCUUGUUCUCAGUAAGUUAACAUAUAGGACUAGCCUGCUAAAAUUUUUAGAUUUUCAGGAAUGUAAUAAACAAGAAUAUUGCUUUGAGCAGAUUGCUUGAUGGAAGAGAACAAAAUAUUUAAGUAUUACCAGAGAGAGAACAAUUCAUAGUGUAGUUUCCAUGUUACCACACCAUGCAGAAAGACAGCAUCUUUAACAGUAGCAAAAUAGCAUAACUUUCAAACCUACAGAGAACAAACCAAAAGCCGGAUCUAUCCAUAACCAGCAACAUUCGCUUCAAGUUGCUGCCCUUCCACUGGCUCUGUGCAGUCUGAAAGGUGUAGGAUCCAUGAUCUUAUAGGCAGGCCCUCCUAAAUCUGAGUGGGAGUUUAAUCCUGAGGAAGCAAAAACAAGCCACAGUGACAACAAGGACAGCCAGGUACUUUCCAGGCUCUGCUCUGUUCAGAUUUUCUGAUGUCCUCCUUUGAACAAAGGGUGCCUGCAGCAUCCUCUCCUUGCUUGGUAAGACUCUGCUGGAUGGGGUGGGGUGGGAUGGGAUAUGGUACAAAGCUGUAUGGAGUUCUGCUGGCAUCCGUCGCUGUGCAGGAGGCACAGCUUGUCCUCCCACAGCGUGGGAGAAGGACAGCCUGAAAAUCAUAGAGAUCGCAAAAUGUUGGACUGUUUUCAGGAUUCAGAUUAGUGCUGUGAAGCAGGGAAAUGAAGGAGGAUAUUUCACAGGGAGGCACUCCUAAUAUUAUCACUUCUCACAGUGUCUCCUGUCUUCAUCUCCAAAGUACUGGCCAUUUGUAGCUGGGGCACAUGGAACAGCACUUGCUUCUUCAAAUAAUGUAGCUGCAUAAAGCCACAGUAUUUUCACCUCUCCUAAAAUGCCAACUGGAAGCUACUUAAUCAAAAACUGACAGCAUACAUUGUGAGGAAGAACUUUCUAAAGAGUGCAGUGAGUGUAGCCUGUCAGUAGGAAACAGGUGCCUGGGUUUAGUGGCCCCACACAAAACAGAGCCUGCAGAACUUGGCUUUGGAUAGAAAUGGAUCCCACAGGCACUUUCUCCCUCCUGUAGGCAAGUGAUCAAAGACACAGAGAUCCUCCAAACACUGGCGGCUGUACCUACAUAUAACAAAAGGCCUACAGUAGCCUGCAAGAUAAUUAACUGUGGGAUUAACCUUUAAUUCAUGAUUCCCAGAUGGUUUUCCUGCCUGCUGUAAGGUAGAGCAUUAUUUCCCACUCAGCUUUUUAGAGACCAGCAAAAAUAAAACCAUGGCAUCUUGCACAUGUGAAUGGCUUGAAAAUAUUUUGGGUUUUUUGGCUUAAAUGUUCACAAGGUGUUAAGUAUUUUUGCAGGAGAAGAGAAAAAGACCUAUGAACAUAGUGCACCUACAAUUUAUGGAAAAUACUGUCAAUAUGGUUAUAUAGUUACAAGCACUGAUAUGAUAAAAUGAUAUCUCAGACAAAAAAAUAAGAAAAUUUAUGUUUUAGUAUUGUGGCCUCAGUGAAGGCCAAACAUUUGAUCCUGCUCUGACUACUAUAAACUAAAAGUAAUGUCCUUGAAAUCAGAUUGGCUGCAUGAGGCUAAAACAAGGAAAUGCUAAAGCAGGUAGAAGAUUUAAAUAAUUCUUUAUAGCAGAGGGUCUCAAAAAAGAAAAAAGGGACUACUGCCACUGAAACAGAGGAAAAUAUUGUUUAUAAUGUUAUUGCAAUACUGUUAAGGUUAGGUGUGGAUGUAAAUAUAUAAUCCAAAAUGACUGCCAGUGUCAGUGAUUUCUUGUAUGCAAGAUCUCUGUGACACACAGUGCAGCACUGGGGCAUAGAUGGCUCCAGGGGAGCAUUAAAAGAAGAGAAGGUGUGUCUAAGAUCAAAUUGCAGGCUGGAAAGAGAGGCCAUAACCGAGUGCACUGGAGGUUCAAAGGAAAGAACACUCAUUUGUGGAGCUGAGAUGCAAACACAAGGCUAAACCAGCCCUGCUGUGCCAGGGCAACCCGGACACCAUCAGAGUGCAGCUAUGCCACCCCUGUUCCCAGCUCUGCCAAGAGUGCUGUGCUGAGUGACCUUUGCUCCUGGGCUCACUGCAUGAGCUGCUAAACCUCACAGAACAGCGCUGGGGUAAAAUGGGGAAGGCUGAAUUAGGGAAGUAUUUGGAGAGACCUGAUUUUGUCUGAGCUUAAGUCCACAGAUUUAAUGGAAAGUAAAGAUCUAAAGUUCACUUCUAAACAGGAACAAAUUUAACACAUCAGCAAAUGUUUAACUGAAUGCCUGAAGAGGGCAUAGACCCAGAGUAAUCUCCAGAGGCUCUGAGGACGAAGAUUGUGUUAAUUUUAGCAAGGGAAUUUAGGUUUUUCUUUAGUGAUGCUACAAAACAAGAAGAUUAUUUAACCUAAAAUACCUUUGUAUAUCUGCAGCUAGCUAAGAAGCCUGUAACAUAUUUCAUCCUUCCAUUUUCUAAAGCAUUCUGCAAUCUAUACACAGACUAUUAUAUAGGAAUUAAAUCUUCUGUAGGAACAUUUCAAAUCAAUCUGCCUAGAGAGUAAUUUUUUUCACUUCAUAGUUCUGGGUCAAAUAUUAAAAUAGAAUGUGAUAUUUUCUUCAUAAAACCCCACAUUUCCUGACAAAUUACUUUUUCUAAGUAACAGAGACUACUAUUAUGAAAAGAUAUGGUCUUGCAUAUUGAGACAGAGGUUAGUGGCUCUUAGUUUUUGCAAGGAUUUUAAAUUGUAUUCAGAUGUUUAAAGUCAGGAAAGCAAUUUUAGUUCUGGAGACUAUCAGAAGACAAUGUUAGAAUUGAUUUUUUUAUUUGCUGUUGGUUUGGUCACCCAUGGCAGGUCUGCUCUGUGGCUGCCACCCCAGUGUCUCCAGUGUUCCACAAGAGAUCAAAGCAGAACACAGCAUGUGAUUUGAGUCCAAAUGACCUGAUCUGAGCAGAUGUCAGAGCCCAGAAACUCAUUCUCUUGCAGUGGGCAAUGUUCAGGGACUCUGAGAGCAGGCAAAUGCCUCAUCACAUCAAGUAUCAGAAAGCUGAUCCUGUGCCAAAAGUCACCGACCUGGUGACAAGGAUGAUGGCUGGAUGUCCAGCUGGAUGUCAUACACACAGGAUCUAGGACAACAGUUCAUGUAAGCUGGGCAGGAGACAGCUGGCUGAAGUUACACCACAUGAAAAAAGUUAUAACAAGAAGAGAAGGGUAUGACCAGGAAAUAUUUUGAAUUUCAGGCAUAACAAUUCUUCAGGCAAGCCAUAAUUACUAUAUUCCAUAAAUACUAUAUACUGUAUUACAUGUAUUGGUCAUGGCAGGACAGUCUGCCAGAAAAAAGCAUGGUAAAAUCUUUCAUUCAGUAUUAAAAGGUCACCUAAAGAAACAAGUGCAUCUUUCAAACUUGGUUCCCCAGCGCCUGCAAGUUGGAGUCCAAGGCUA
ensembl:lncRNA